rnacentral:rRNA from 1 species
AAUCAACGCUGGCGGCGUGCCUAACACAUGCAAGUCGAAAGAGAAAGUGGGGGCAACCCUGCGAGUACAGUGGCAGACGGGUGAGUAACACGUGAACAACCUACCCUUGAGUGGGGAAUAACACCGCGAAAGCGGUGCUAAAACCGCAUAAAAUCCUUUUAUCGCAUGGUGAAGGGAUCAAAAGCGCAAGUUGCUUGAGGAGGGGUUCGCGGCUGAUUAGCUAGUUGGUGAGGUAACGGCCCACCAAGGCAACGAUCAGUAGCCGGCCUGAGAGGGCGAGCGGCCACACUGGAACUGAGACACGGUCCAGACUCCUACGGGAGGCAGCAGUGGGGAAUUUUGCGCAAUGGGCGAAAGCCUGACGCAGCAACGCCGCGUGGAGGAUGAAGGCCUUCGGGUCGUAAACUCCUGUCGAUGGGGACGAAAGCCUAGCAAUAGGAUUGACUGUACCCGUUGAGGAAGCCACGGCUAACUCCGUGCCAGC